UGGGGAAUGAUUGCACAAUGGGCGAAAGCCUGAUGCAGCGACGCCGCGUGAGGGAUGACGGCCUUCGGGUUGUAAACCUCUUUCAGCAGGGAAGAAGCGAAAGUGACGGUACCUGCAGAAGAAGCGCCGGCUAACUACGUGCCAGCAGCCGCGGUAAUACGUAGGGCGCAAGCGUUGUCCGGAAUUAUUGGGCGUAAAGAGCUCGUAGGCGGUUAGUCGCGUCUGCUGUGAAAAUCUCGAGGCUCAACCUCGGGCUUGCAGUGGGUACGGGCUGACUAGAGUGCGGUAGGGGUGACUGGAAUUCCUGGUGUAGCGGUGGAAUGCGCAGAUAUCAGGAGGAACACCGAUGGCGAAGGCAGGUCACUGGGCCACAACUGACGCUGAGGAGCGAAAGCAUGGGGAGCGAACAGGAUUAGAUACCCUGGUAGUCCAUGCCGUAAACGUUGGGCACUAGGUGUGGGGUCCAUUCCACGGAUUCCGUGCCGCAGCAAACGCAUUAAGUGCCCCGCCUGGGGAGUACGGCCGCAAGGCUAAAACUUAAA
rnacentral:rRNA from 1 species